UACGGAGGGAGCUAGCGUUGUUCGGAAUUACUGGGCGUAAAGCGCACGUAGGCGGCUAUUCAAGUCGGGGGUGAAAGCCCGGGGCUCAACCCCGGAACUGCCCUCGAAACUAGAUAGCUAGAAUCUUGGAGAGGUGAGUGGAAUUCCCAGUGUAGCGGUGAAAUGCGUAGAUAUUGGGAGGAACACCAGUGGCGAAGGCGGCUCACUGGACCGGAACUGACGCUGAGGCGCGAAAGCGUGGGGAGCAAACAGG
rnacentral:rRNA from 1 species